GCCCGUGUUGCUCAGUGGAUAGAGCAUCAGCCUGCAAACCAAAGGGUCCCGGGUUCAAUUCCGGUCAAGGGCA
rnacentral:tRNA from 1 species